GAGUGGCAGACGGGUGAGUAACGCGUGGGAAUCUACCUAGUGGUGGAGGAUAACUUCGGGAAACCGGAGCUAAUACUCCAUAAGCCCUUCGGGGGAAAGUUUUUUCGCCAUUAGAUGAGCCCGCGUUAGAUUAGCUUGUUGGUAGGGUAAUGGCCUACCAAGGCGACGAUCUAUAGCUGGUCUGAGAGGAUGAUCAGCCACACUGGAACUGAGACACGGUCCAGACUCCUACGGGAGGCAGCAGUGGGGAAUAUUGCACAAUGGGCGCAAGCCUGAUGCAGCCAUGCCGCGUGUGUGAUGAAGGCCUUAGGGUUGUAAAACACUUUCAUCGGUGAAGAUAAUGACGGUAGCCGAAGAAGAAGCCCCGGCUAACUCCGUGCCAGCAGCCGCGGUAAUACGGAGGGGGCAAGCGUUGUUCGGAAUUACUGGGCGUAAAGCGCACGUAGGCGGACUGAUCAGUUGGGGGUGAAAUCCCGAGGCUUAACCUCGGAACUGCCUUCAAUACUGUCAGUCUUGAGAUCGGAAGAGGUGAGUGGAAUUCCUAGUGUAGAGGUGAAAUUCGUAGAUAUUAGGAAGAACACCAGUGGCGAAGGCGGCUCACUGGUCCGAUACUGACGCUGAGGUGCGAAAGCGUGGGGAGCGAACAGGAUUAGAUACCCCAGUAGUCCUAGCCGUAAACGAUGGAUACUAGGUGUUGCCUGUAUCGACCCAGGCAGUGCCGUACCUAA
rnacentral:rRNA from 1 species